UCGGAAGUAGAAUAGUUCGGUCUAAUUCAGCGGGUUUUGACCCCGUGAUCGUAGGUUCAAAUCCUACCUUCCGUGCCA
rnacentral:tRNA from 1 species